rnacentral:rRNA from 1 species
GAGACUCUGUGCGCGUGCAUAUCAAUAAGCGGAGGAAAAGAAACUAACAAGGAUUCCCUUAGUAACGGCGAGUGAAGCGGGAAGAGCUCAAAUUUGAAAUCUUCAAGGUUCUACCUUGACGAAUUGUAGUUUAUAGAAGUGUUUUCUGUUAGUGGAGUGGCAAAAGUUCAUUGGAAUAGGACAUCAUAGAGGGUGAGAAUCCCGUAUUUGGUCAUUCCUCCUAGCGUUGUGAUACACUUUCAACGAGUUGGAUUGUUUGGGAAUGCAGUCCAAAAUGGGUGGUAAAUUUCAUCUAAAGCUAAAUAUUGGCGAGAGACCGAUAGCGAACAAGUACCGUGAGGGAAAGAUGAAAAGAACUUUGAAAAGAGAGUUAAACAGUACGUGAAAUUGUCAAAAGGGAAGCGUUUGACACCAGUGUUGUUUUUCCGAAAAUCAAUUAAGAAUGGCCGGAUUUUAAGUUUCAUGACCUUAAAAGCUUGUUUCUUAUUUUUCUUGUCUUUCUUAAUGCACUUUUCGGUUAACAAGUCAACAUCAAUUUCUUUUGUUGUAAAAGGUUAAGAGGAAGGUGGCUUUACUUUCGGGUAAAGUGUUUAUAGCCUUUUAACUCUGCAAUCGGAGAGAUUGAGGUCUGCAGCGUAGAUCCUUCGGGGCUAGAUACGUUUGUGCUAAGUUAUAGCUUUUCAUAGACAACUUGUUGACUAUGUUUAGUCUUGUAGCUUACUCGCAUGCGCUAUUUUACCUACGCUUAGGAUGUUGAACUCUAUCACACACAG